UACGAAGGGGGCUAGCGUUGUUCGGAAUUACUGGGCGUAAAGCGCACGUAGGCGGAUCCUUAAGUCGGGGGUGAAAUCCUGGAGCUCAACUCCAGAACUGCCUUCGAUACUGAGGAUCUCGAGUCCGGGAGAGGUGAGUGGAACUGCGAGUGUAGAGGUGAAAUUCGUAGAUAUUCGCAAGAACACCAGUGGCGAAGGCGGCUCACUGGCCCGGUACUGACGCUGAGGUGCGAAAGCGUGGGGAGCAAACAGG
rnacentral:rRNA from 1 species